AACGCACAUUGCACCCGGUGGUAUUCCGCCGGGUAUGCCUGUUCGAGCGUCUUUAGGACUCCCCCCCCAGCAAGCUUCGGCUUGAUUUUGAAGUUGCGGCGUCGAGCUGCAGCCUUGAAGACCACGGGCGGUUCCAGUAGGUUCUAUGCGUAGUAAUUUCUCCUCGCUAUUGGACUUUGCUCGGAGCAUUGGUACUAAGUCCAUUCAUUUGGCCACUCCAAGCCCUUAACACCCAAAUUCUAAGUUGACCUCGGAUCAAGUAGGGAUACCCGCUGAACUUAA
rnacentral:misc_RNA from 1 species